CGGGAAUAAGAAUUCAUAGCCGGAAAUGGCGAAAGACGACGUGGAGAUGCGAGGGGAGGCCGAGGAGCGUAUAAUCAACGAAGACUACAAGAUCUGGAAGAAGAACACUCCUUUCCUCUACGACCUCGUCAUCACUCACGCUCUCGAGUGGCCUUCCCUUACCGUUGAAUGGCUCCCCAGCCGCGAUGAGCCUCCCGGUCAAAACUACUCCGUCCAGAAGAUGCUUCUCGGUACCCACACUUCCGAUAACGAACCCAAUUAUCUCAUGAUUGCCCAGGUUCAGCUUCCCCUUGAAGACACCGAGAGCGAAGCGCGUCAAUACGACGACGAUCGCUCCGAGUUUGGUGGGUUUGGCUGCGCCUCCGGAAAGGUACAAUCUUUCAGGUUAAUUCUAGGGUUUAGCGAGUUGAAUUAUAAGAAAGUCGAUUUCUUUUUGCGUUUAGGUGCAAGUGAUCCAGCAGAUAGUUCACGAAGGUGAGGUGAACCGAGCUCGAUACAUGCCUCAGAACCCUUUCUUGAUUGCCACCAAGACGGUUAGUGCGGAGGUGUUUCUGUUUGAUUACAGCAAGCACCCGUCUAAGCCAGCGCUUGAUGGGGCUUGCAAUCCUGAUAUGAAGCUCAAGGGUCACAGCUCUGAAGGCUAUGGGCUGUCUUGGAGUACCUUGAAGGAAGGUCAUUUGCUCAGCGGCGCUGAUGACGCUCAGAUCUGCUUGUGGGAUGUUAGCGCCACUCCUCAAAGCAAUGUUCUUGACGCUCAGCAGAUCUUCAAGGUAUGCUUUGGUUCAUGUCCCUCAGAAGACAAGCAAUUGCACCCACUGAAAGGAAUUAGUCAAGUCCAUGAAUGUACUGAUUAGUUGUUGUUUUAAUUUUUAGGCUCAUGAAGGCGUCGUGGAAGAUGUUGCAUGGCAUAUGCAACAUGCACACCUGUUUGGAUCCGUUGGAGAUGAUCAAUACCUUCAUAUAUGGGAUCUUCGUUCUCCUUCUCCCAGUGGACCAGUAAAGUCUGUGGAAGCUCACUCCAUGGAGGUGCGUUUGCACUAAACUGACUUUUAAGACAAAACAUUGAUGCUAAACAAAAAAAAACAAUCGAAUCAUAUUGCCUUAUCUGUAUUUUCUGAUUGUUUUUUUAUUCUUUUAAAUGCCUCAGGUUAACUGCUUAGCUUUCAAUCCAGUGAAUGAGUGGAUUGUGGCAACAGGGUCAACUGAUAAGACUGUUAAAUUAUUCGAUCUACGGAUGCUAAACAGCGCUCUUCACACAUUUGAAAGCCAUAAGUGAGAACAUUUUACUUUGAGACAUAUUAUAUGUUACUAAGAAGUAAUUUAGCUCAAGUAAACCCACCAUUGCUAACCUGAUAUUAUUUACUUUGAAUUCCAGGGAAGAGGUUUUCCAAGUUGGCUGGAACCCAAACAACGAGACAAUCUUAGCCUCAUGUUGCCUUGGAAGACGGCUUAUUGUUUGGGACGUUAGCAGGUUUGAUCAGUAGGCUUUGUUGCUUGGCUAUAGAAUACUCUUGUUUCCUUAUGGAGCAAUAAUAUUAAUGUGUUUGAUGGUGUCUUAUGACAGGAUCAACGACGAACAGACAGCAGAGGAUGCAGAGGACGGCCCACCGGAGCUGCUGUUUAUACAGCUAUAGCUUCCUCCCCUCCCCCUCCCCCUCCUCCUCCUCCUCCAGCUCCCCCGAUACCACAAUCUCAUGGAAACUCUGCGAUUAAAAGCUCACCUCCUGCACCUCCACGGCCUCCUGCUCCUCCUCCCCCUCCAAACGCACCACCUCCACCAGGUCAGAUGAAGGCACCGUCAGCACCACCUCCACCCCCGUUAGGUCAGAUGAGGUCACCAUCAGCACCACCCCCUCCUCCGAAAUUAGGAACUAAGUCAUCCCCAUCUUCUGGUACUGGUGUGCCUCCGACACCUGCUUUACCAGGUGGGUCUCUUUCAUCAGGAAAAGGGAGAAUGUUACGUGUAAAUUCAAAGAAUACAGCCAAAAAGUUGAAGCCAUACCACUGGUUGAAACUGACAAGAGCUGUUAAUGGGAGCUUAUGGGCAGAAACACAAAUGUCUAGCGAAGCUUCUAAGUAUGCGUUGUUCAUCUUGUCGUUACUUCUUUCUCUGAUGCCUUCAUUUCUUGUAUGAUUUCUAAGCCAUUAGUUCUUACAUGUUGUUGUUUAAGGGCUCCUGAGAUUGACAUGACAGAGCUUGAAAGUCUUUUCUCAUCUGCUCCAGAAGAGGCAGGAAAGUCGAGACUAAAUAGCUCUCGUGGACCUAAACCCGAGAAAGUUCAACUGGUAAAUUGUGUAUUUUAGAGUUAAAAUUUGUGUUCUUGUGUCGAUUCUGAUAUGUUUCCCAGAAAAUGAUAGUUUUGUCGAUGGGAAUACUAACUAUUAUGAGGAACUCUUAUCUUGCAGAUUGAACACAGGCGAGCAUACAAUUGUGAAAUUAUGCUUUCAAAAGUGAAAGUACCUCUGCAGGAUUUGAUGGUAAUAUAAAGCUCUGUAAUGAUGGCAGUUUAAUCGGGUAAAAUGUUAAUGACAAUUAAAAGCUAAAUUGAUUAUGUAAAUAUUGGCAGUACUCAGUGCUUAACCUGGAGGAAUCGGCUCUUGAUGCUGAUCAGGUUGAGAAUCUAAUCAAGUUUUGUCCAACAAGAGAAGAAAUGGAAUUACUUAAGGUAUAAGAAGUGCACUCCUAACUAAUUUUCUGCUGUUUUGAUUCCAAAAGCCAGUAACCCCUACACAAAAUGGGUAUACUGUGAUCCACCUUUUGUAUGUUCCUCUGAUUUUUCUUCAUUUUUGCAUGGUUUGCAGGGUUACACUGGUGACGUGGACAAGCUUGGAAAAUGCGAGCUGGUACAGAACUUUGAAACAAUUUUGUGGUUUUAUUGGAGUAGCCAUCAGAGUGAUAACAUCGUAUAUGCUUCUUGAAAUUGUUUGGACAGUUCUUCUUAGAGAUGAUGAAAGUCCCACGAGUGGAAACAAAGCUUAGGGUAUUCUCAUUCAAAAUUCAGUUCCGUUCUCAGGUUUGAAAACUGAUUCCCUACUAAUUACGAGUAUCCUGAGCUUUGGUUUUAGUACUAAUGGUCACUAGUAAACACUUGUUUUAGAUCUCUGAACUCAAGAAUAGUCUAAGUGUUGUGAACUCCGCAGCAGAACAGGUUAGUCAGACUCAACUUGCGGGUCUCCCAACGUGAUUAAACAUAUCUCACAAAUACUCUGUUGUUCCUCUUUUCAUCAGAUAAAGAAUUCUGAGAAAUUCAAAAGAAUAAUGCAGACAGUUUUGUCCCUUGGAAACGCCUUAAACCAGGGGACAGCUAGGGGUGAGUUUGAAAAUGAAACGCAGAAACUAUAGGUUAUAUCUUUUAUCCUGCGCUGAAUGUACUUUCUGUCUAGGUGCUGCGGUGGGGUUUAAGCUGGACAGUCUGCCAAAACUCAGUGAAACACGGGCGCGUAAUAACCGUAUGACUCUGAUGCAUUAUCUAUGCAAGGUAAGCUCCUGUAAUGCUUCUGUAGCUAUGUGGAUGAACUAGAUAAAGAAAAAAUUUAUAUUCUGAUGGAUUGUCUGCAGAUUCUUGCUGAGAAAAUGCCAGAAGUUUUAGAUUUCACGAAAGAUUUAUCCUCACUUGAGCCUUCAACAAAGGUACUUAGCUAUCACAUUUCAUGUGCGGUUUGGUAAGAAACUUGAAAACUGUGUUAAAUUUUCUGAACUUUGAUAAUACAGAUUCAACUGAAGUUUUUGGCGGAGGAGAUGCAAGCUAUAAACAAGGGACUGGAGAAAGUCGUACAAGAACUAUCCUUGUCCGAAAAUGAUGGCCCAAUCUCACAUAACUUUAACAAGGUAUCUAUGUUCGAUCACUAGUUCCCUUUUCAAUGCUUUCUCAGAUCGUUUAUUGGGAGAACAGUUAAGUUUUUCAUGAGAAAGUUAAGUAGGCUGUGUAGUGUAGGUAGACAUAGCCUCUACUUGAAGGAGUUCCUUUUUCCAGAGCUAUGUUUUUUUUUUGUCACAGACAGAGCUAUGUUAUAUGAAACAAUCAAGUCUUAUUUGAAAACAAUCAAGUUUUAUAUGCACAGAGCUAAAUGUACAUCAAGGUCUUUUAUUUAUUUAUUUAUUUCGCAGAUAUUGAAGGAGUUCCUUCUUUAUGCGGAAGCAGAAGUAAGGUCCUUGGCUUCACUCUAUUCCGGAGUGGUAUGUCACUAAAAAUCCAGUGUGCAUUUGAUAUAUUAUUGGCUUCUCUACCGUUGGUCAGAAAAAAAAUAAUUAUGUAACGCAGGGACGAAACGUGGAUGGCUUAAUUCUCUACUUUGGUGAAGACCCAGCUAAAUGUCCAUUUGAACAGGGUAUGCAUAUACAAGAUGCAUAUAUAUAUAGGCUUUCUAUGUUCAUUGCUACUUUCUGUGAAAUUAGAUCGUUUUUUAUCUUUGAUCUAGGUCAAAUAUUGAUCUGUGAUCUUCUACUUUCCCAGAAAGUUGAUAGCUUUGGCAAUGUUUGUGUGUCUGCGAUAAAAAUAGGAUUUUUUUUUAAAUUUUAAAUCAUGAUUGGCUUUUAAGACACUGAUACUGAAGACAAAUGUUCUAUCUUUAUUUUGCAGUGUUUGACUGCUGCUUCUCCUCCGAUUCUUGGGAAGAAGAGAUAUAUAUAUAUAUGUAACAUUAUGUGAAACAAGGUUUUUCAGAGUUGUUGAAUCUAACAAAAUGGUAAUUGCAGUGGUGUCUACCCUUCUAAACUUUGUAAGGCUGUUCAACCGUGCGCAUGAAGAAAACGGAAAACAACUUGAGGCAGAAGCUAAGAAGAAAGCUGAAGACGAGAAAUCAAAAAUAAGUGAAGUAGAUAAAGAAAGCAGGAAGCCCUUGUCCUUGGAGGAACAAGUUAAGAAGGAGAAAACAAAAAUAAGUGGAUUUGAUAAAGAAACCAAGGAGACACUGGAUGAAGGAACCCCUGCUUGAAAAACUGCUCCUUUCUAUUUUUAGAUGGCAAUGGAAGUAAAACAGUGUAGGACGGGAACGGACCGGCGAAGGUGAGGAGGCUAUGCGGCUUAAACCCAUGGUGUUUCCAGACAAUAUGAAAAGUGCAGCAUUGUCACUUAACGACAAAGCUAACUUGUAAAAUAGGGAGGGGGUAUAAAAUAAUGUAAUUAGAAAACAAUAAACACAACUACAUCAUACAUGCCUGGUCAAAUCUGCAAUAAGCAAUGUUAUUCCCUUCUUUAAAAUUGUACAAGAGGCAAAGUGUCUACUUUUGCAUAUAAUAAGAAAAACUCCUCUGUAUGAUCGUCUUUGGAGUAGCAAAACUAAGUCGGGUGGAUUUGAGAGUGGCCUGGACUUUUAUCCUUCCCUCACAGUUAUCUUUCUAUUUGUUCACGAUGUGGAAGAUAUUGAUAGUUUUUACUAUAGUUAUGAAUUGUUAAUGAUCACCUAUUUAUGAACUUGGGAUCUGUGUUUCUGCUAUUGAUGUCUACCCCUGUGUUAUUUAGUACCAUAGGCUCUGAAUAACACAAGUUCAUAGCAUGUGGCUGAGCUCCUCCGGUGCAUUGUUGGAGGCCAAGUUCUUAUGUGUAUGUUGCAGACAAGUUUCAGAGCAAGGGGAUGGUGAGGUCAAAACAGGAGAAAAUCCAAGUGCUUGGAGCAAUAAUAUUUCAUUUGUGUAAGAAUUUGCCAUCUUUUGGAAAAAAGAAACACAUAAAGUUUCCUUUUUAUUAUUGUUUAACAGUCUUGAUAUAUGUCCAGUAACAGUACUGUUGAACCACAAUGACAAAAUUGUUUGACUCAAGAACCAAAAUCAAACACACAAACUCACUCAUACACUCUCUAACCAACUCGACGACGUAAGUAAGAAAGUUGAGUUUGUAGAAUAAUAGAGAUAUGAAGAAGAAUGCAGAAAAGAUAGAAGAUGGACACAAGAAAUUGUUUACCCAGUGGUUCAACUAGAAUGGUUUACGUCCACUGGGGCCUGGCAAGAGGCAAUCCACUAUAAUCUCAAGUACAAAAAAUAUAGCACGUCUCUUUCUCUCACAACCAAAGCUCACAAACCAAGCUAGGUCUUUUCUUGGACCAAGGAGAAAGAGUAUACACGAGCUCCUCUUAUAUAAUAGGAGUCUAUUAGGUUAACCUAGUCGGAUUAGGGCAUUCGCCCCUUUCCAUAAACCUAUUAGGAAAUAUUCCAAAAUACUUGCAACUUCCAUAACUCCAUGAGAGUAAUAUUUCCAGGAUCCUGCCGACUUCCAUAUCUCCAUAAAAGUGACAUUUCCUUUUCCUAACAUGACGUCCUUGUCUUGGUUUAAGUUACUCAAUCUUGUUUGAUUUCCAUCACCAAAUCCUAACGCAGUCUAUGACAGAUUCUCUGACGUAACCACUGAUGAAUCCCAACAGGUACAACCAAAACCAAAUGAUUUGAAGACUCUGUGCAGCAGCAGCUCUAGCUCCCACGGUAUGUUGUGGAAGAAAAUGGUGAAAGUAACAGAGGUACGUGGAAAUGCUCCAGACUCUAUAACCUUGAAUGCAAUGGAAACAUAAGGGAAGAAGCCUCCUGGGCAAUAUGUUCCAGCGUUGAAGCUUAUCCUAUACGUACAUGGCUUCAAAUCCUCGACCAAAUCCAUCAAUGGCCCGCUACUCCCAUCUUUAUCAGUAGCUGAAGUGCCCACAACGGACCAGACCCUCUCCAUGAAGAAAGGAAGGACUCGUAGUGUCCAAAACCGUCAUUUCAUAUCCAAUAUAUCGAGAUAUGUUCAAGCUUAUAUAUGACCGUGCAAAAAAAUACAUGUACUAACAUACAUAUUAUUUAUCUUUUUUGCAAAAUUAUACACCAGUCGUCACAUCAGUUGUCACGUCAUCUAAUUUCAAUGAUGGGAUGCUAAGUUAGCCAAUUUUACUCACAAUGAUGCCACAUGUACAAUUUUUUUAAAAAUUGUCGUUUUAAAAAUAACUUUUCUAAAAAUGUAAAAUUUUAUAUUUUUUAUUAUUUAGUAAUAUUAACAAAAAUUAAUUAAAUCAUAAAAUUUUAAUCUUAUAUAAGAUUUAUAUUUGUAAAUGUUAUAUAAUAAAUUUACAUCAUAAAUUCUUUAAUCGUAGCGUUAGAGUAUCCGUUGGGGUUCAGUUCAGGUUUUUCGGAUUUCGAUUCUAUUUUAUAACAUGUCCUAAGAUUCAUACUGAUAUUUUUGUAAGUAUGGGUCAGUAUACGUUUUGUAACACUUUUCAAGAUCCUUUCAGGUAUUUUUUUACGUUUAAGACCGGAUACGGUUUGGGUUCGGUUCGGAUUUUAGGUUACGGAUUUUAUACACGACCCUAUACACAACAAUGAUUUAUCGAGAGUAAGACGACUGCAACACUAACAUUAAAUUUGAUUCAUCACAACACAUAUAUAACUCUUAUAAGGACGAUAUUGUGAUAAGAUCAAAACAUUUAUGAAUAUAUAUAUGUUAUAUAAGGUUAAAUUUUUAUGAUUUAAUUAAAAUUUGUUAAUAUUCUAAAUAAUAAAAUUUAUAAAAUUUUACAUUUUCUAAAAAACUAUUUAUAUAAUGUGAUUAUUUUUAAAAAAAUCGUGUACGUGGCAUACUCGUCGACGUAACAUUUACAUCAACUAAAUUAGAUGAUGUGGCAGCUAAUAUGGCGACCGGUAUAUGAUUUCACCGAAAAAAUAAAUAGUGGGUAUGUUAUUUGAAAUUUUCAGAUAUAAAUUGAACAUAUCGCGAUUUAAUGGGCAUGAAAUCGCCGUUUUCUCUCUUCUUGGGUGUUGUUGCAAGUCUGUUAAAUGGGCCUCUAAAUGGGCUUUUCCAAAAUAGGCUCAUUAGAUAUCUUUCCUUCCUUUUUUUGUCAAAAUAUUUCGUUCCUUCUACUUCAUCUUCUUUGCCACCAAUAUAUAGGAGAUAGGACAGAGAAGAGAUCUGUUGUCUUAGGGUUUUUGUCUUCUGCUUGUGCGCGGGAAUAAAGAAUUCAUAGCCGGAAAUGGCGAAAGACGACGUGGAGAUGCGAGGGGAGGCGGAGGAGCGUAUAAUAAACGAAGACUACAAGAUCUGGAAGAAGAACACUCCUUUCCUCUACGACCUCGUCAUCACUCACGCUCUCGAGUGGCCUUCCCUUACCGUUGAAUGGCUCCCCAGCCGCGAGGAGCCUCCCGGUCAAAACUACUCCGUCCAGAAGAUGAUUCUCGGUACCC
rnacentral:lncRNA from 1 species